UACAGAGGUGGCAAGCGUUGUUCGGAAUUACUGGGCGUAAAGGGCGCGUAAGCGGCCUACUAAGUCAGACGUGAAAUCCCCAGGCUUAACUUGGGAACUGCGUCUGAUACUGGAAGGCUUGAGUGCGGGAGAGGGAUGUGGAAUUCCAGGUGUAGCGGUGAAAUGCGUAGAUAUCUGGAGGAACACCGGUGGCGAAGGCGGCGACCUGGUCCAUUACUGACGCUGAGGCGCGAAAGCGUGGGGAGCAAACAGG
rnacentral:rRNA from 1 species